UCAUCUCCCUCCUCCCACCCAUCCACCCACUGGGAACAAUUUUCUCUCUCUUGGAAUUUUCGUGAAAUCCUUCCGUCUUGACUAAAAGUAAACCCAUCCCAUCCGCCCCUAUUUUUCCUUAUCUUUCAUCUCAACCAACAGCUCAACCUUUUGGUCCUCUCUCUCUCUCUCUCUCCCUGGAAAUCUCUCACCUCUCCACCUUCCAUUUCCCCACUAUAUAAGCCAUCUACACUUCAUUUUCCCCCUCACUGCAAUCUCAAGUGGACACACCCUUUCUCUCUAUCAACCAACAAACCAACAAUUAGUCAUUAGCCCUUUUGAUUUCUUGUUUCCAACCCAACCCCAAACCCAUCCCCCUCGCCUUUCCCUCUCUCUCCCAAACCCCCCCCCCUUUUUUUUUCAACCGGUAGUAAUUGUUAUUCAUCUCAUUUCUCUCUUUUCCUCUCUCUUGUGACUUGGCUAUAUGGAUGGAUUGAUUGAUUGAUUGAUUUUCCUUUCCACAUCUCAUCCAACUACAUUCCCACAAUUUAUUUGUUUGUCUAAGAUCCUCUCCCAAAACCCCAUAUCUUUAGGUCUUGUUUGUCUCUGCAAUCUUUUUGCAUUAUAUAUAUUGAGGGCUCAUUUCUUCUCUCCUCACAGUGUCCGAACUACAAACUCCACCCCACUUUGUCGCCUGUCUUCCAUUAUUUCUGUUGGUCCCGCGGUCCUCAUUCUGCUCUUUAGCCAAACGCGCGCCCGUAGGAAUCUUCUUUCUUUUGUGCCGUAGCGAAAUGGAAAUAACGGAAGAGUGCGCGGGCGAGAAUAAGAGUAGCAAAAAAAGAGCCCGGUACGACUCAGGCGAGCUGGAGCCCGACUCACCCGAGUCCAAGCGGGUUCAAGUCGGUACCGAUUCGGAUCCCGAGUCAGACCGAGUUGACACGGACAAGAAGCCCGACUCGAACGAGCCCAACCAAAGCCAGCACGACUCAGAGGAUAACUCGACCGAGUCUGACCCAGCCGAGAACGAGUUGGACCCUCCGGGGUGAUGACGUUCCGGGAAGACAUUUUGGACAUCCUCGAUGAACCGGAGAUUGCUACGGGGAUUCAGGACCUUGAUUCGGUCAUCAGAAGCUUCGAGGAAGAGAUAAUCCAGUCAUCACCUUCCCUAGUUCACCCACCGGCCGGUGAGUUCAACUCGGAUUCCGGCGAUUCUCGGCCGGACCUGGGCUACCUCCUGGAAGCCUCCGACGAUGAGCUGGGCCUUCCUCCCACCGUCUCCGAGUCCCAAGCCCAGAAUCAGCCGUGAACAUGCCAGAUGGAAAUGAGCAAGACGUGGACGGGCUAGGGAACAUGGUUGGGUUUGAGCAUGAGCUGCCGAAUUACGACUCGUUCGAGUUGGGACUCGGUGAGAACAAUCACGGUGCCAGCGGCAACGGAGAUUUCGUGACGGUUGAUGGGCUGUUCGAUUAUUCGGACUUGGGCUGGCGGCCCGAGUCCUUGCCUGCCUUGUAAAAGCUUGGAAUAUUCGGGCUAGAGGGAGGAUGUUAGUAGGUGUGGUUGGUAGCGUAGGGUGUAAAUCUGGUAGAUGCCCAAACGAAAAAGGAAACUAGAACAAAAGGAUUUGUCAGAAAAUUGAUACUGAAAUUCAAUGGAUAUGUUAUGCAUAUGAAAAGCAGAAUUUAAUUUCUUUUAUUUGUUUAUUUUUAUUGGAAAUUUAUUAAGAAAGGCAUACCAAAUUGAAAUAAAUUGCUGGAUUGUGUCACAGACCGGGCAGCUUUUGAGCAUCAUUCACAAAAUCUAGAAUUUGUUAGAAGCAAAAAUGUCCAUGCAUUAACUGAAAAAAAAAAAGCCAUCUUUCUUGGCUUUUUUUUUAUUUUUUUCUUCUGGCUAUCAUAAUUUGUAAUUUCACGUCUAUCCUUUUUCCUUCCAUAGAUAUUGGCACAGUUGAAAUUCAAAAGAUAGAAAGGUUUCGCCAUAUUUUGGGGGAAACUUCCUUGAUGGUCCAUUUAUGGCAAAAGACAACGGCAAAGCACAAUGACCACUUUACCGUCUUGAGAAUCUUAAGCCUCAACAGUUUGGCCCGCAUGUGCGGUACUUCAGUGUGAAAGAAGGAAAAGAAAGAAAACUACAAAGUAGCUGCAGAUUGUCUGCUUGCAUCAAUCAAGACUUGAGUCUCCUUCGGAAAAAAAAAAGAAGAAAAAAGAAAAGAUAUUAGCGGGCCUUGGGUCAACAUCAGCUGUGUCAUUGAUGAGGUCCAGCCCACUAGCUUCCGUCGCUUUCACGGACAGAGAGACAGUAAAAAAGGACAAAAAGGCCAAUUAGACAACAAAAAAAAAAAAGUAAUUUGAAAUGAGGUGGGUGAUCGUUUCCGAAAAAAAAAGAAGAAAUGAGGUGGGUGAAAUAGUAAAUUGACUGAGUUUUUUCUGUGAGCUAUUUUUGCAUCUUAUUGUGUAUGGGAAUUAGAAGUGUACCAUGCAAUUACCAUGUUAAGGCACUUACUUCCUAUUCUCGUGUUACAAUUAGGAGGGUGCUCUAUAUUGUCACACUAGGGCACAUAAUUUUUACUGUACUUUAUAUUAUGGAUUAAUUUUUUC